UGCGCAGGUGGGGAUGUAAGUCAGUGGUGAAAUGUUGCCGCUCAACGGUAAAAUUGCCAUUGAUACUGCAUCUCUUGAGUAUGGUUGAGGUAGGCGGAAUGUGUUGUGUAGCGGUGAAAUGCAUAGAUAUGACACGGAACACCGAUUGCGAAGGCAGCUUACUAAGCCAUUACUGACGCUGAGGCACGAAAGCGUGGGGAGCGAACAGGAUUAGAUACCCUGGUAGUCC
rnacentral:rRNA from 1 species